GGGGGCGAAAUAGGAUCGACGUGCCUAAUAAAAAGAUUGCUUUUACUCGGGAUGAUUCCGCCGAUGGCUUUUGCCAUAUGGGUCAAAACAAAGAAACGCAAACGAUAAUAAUCGUUCUGGAGGUCGUUUAGCUUUAGCAGCUUAACCCUUACGCGGCUGGAUGGUUUGCCGGGCAACAGAAAAACCCUCACGU
rnacentral:tmRNA from 1 species